CUUGCUCUAGGCCUGUGCUAAGCACUUUAUGUAAAUUUAAUUCUCGAGGCUCAGAGAGCUUAGGUUCUAACCUGGCCAUUUGGAAACUAAGAACAACAGGCUGGUCAGACUCAAAAGAGCUCACAGGCCCGCGCAUCCAGAAACAGCAACCACAGCCCUCCCACACUGGAGGCAGACACAGCUGGUGGAUUCCCUCCUUCCUGCAGAGCCUAGACAUAGCCUCAGAAUCCUGCCCAACACACUCUGGCAGCCACUCAAGAGCCGCUGGCACAAGAGAGAAUGCUUGUUCAACAUGCUUGUUUUUACACUUGGGGAGGAGGCUCUGUCCAGAUUCUGGGUUCUUAAAACUCCCAGAUGGGUGCUCUUGGCACUGCCUCCUCCACCCCCAUCUAGUCAGUGCUGCCCGAUCUCUGCCAAAUACAUCUGACCUCUGAGCUUCCCCAAGGUUCCAGUAUUCAGUCCCUGCCCUACCUAUUGGGCAGGGUGCAGUGGGGAGUGGGGAACAAUGGAGGGGCUCGAUGGCACGGAAAAAGGACAAGACACAAUUGAAAUUGGCUUGGCGUACAGCAGUAGAAAUUUAAGUUAGAUAUUAGGAGGAACUUCCCAGCAGUGAGAGCCAUUAGACUUUGGCUAGGAGGCUACAGUAUUCUCUCUCCCUGAAAGUUCAAAAAACACUGAAAAGGCUGCUAUUGCCUGCCAGAGACAAUGUCUGAGCAGAGGGAAGGACUCGCGGCUUCUGGGGUAAACACCAGGUCACGUGUUGAAUUAGGGGAACAGCAGCAGCAGGAUGAGCCUCACCUCGCACCAGGAGCCAGACGGAUGCCCUUGUGACCCCAUUGGCA
rnacentral:lncRNA from 1 species